rnacentral:rRNA from 1 species
GUCAUUAGUUGCUACGAAAGGGCACUCUAAUGAGACUGCCGGUGACAAACCGGAGGAAGGUGGGGAUGACGUCAAGUCCUCAUGGCCCUUAUAGGUGGGGCUACACACGUCAUACAAUGGCUGGUACAAAGGGUUGCCAACCCGCGAGGGGGAGCCAAUCCCAUAAAGCCAGUCGUAGUCCGGAUCGCAGUCUGCAACUCGACUGCGUGAAGUCGGAAUCGCUAGUAAUCGUGGAUCAGCAUGUCACGGUGAAUACGUUCCCGGGUCUU